UACGGAGGGUGCAAGCGUUAAUCGGACUUACUGGGCGUAAAGCGCGCGUAGGCGGCUAGAUAAGUCGGAUGUGAAAGCCCCGGGCUCAACCUGGGAACUGCAUACGAUACUGUCUGGCUAGAGUAUGAGAGAGGGAGGUAGAAUUCCACGUGUAGCGGUGAAAUGCGUAGAUAUGUGGAGGAACACCAGUGGCGAAGGCGGCUCGCUGGCCUGCAACUGACGCUGAGGUGCGAAAGCGUGGGGAGCAAACAGG
rnacentral:rRNA from 1 species